rfam:Rattus norvegicus chromosome 2, whole genome shotgun sequence.
GGGGAUUUAGCUCAGUGGUAGAGUGCUUGCCUAGCAAGCGCAAGGCCCUGGGUUCAGUUCCCAGCUCCA